GACGAACGCUGGCGGCGUGCUUAACACAUGCAAGUCGAACGAAGAGCGAUGGAAGCUUGCUUCUAUCAAUCUUAGUGGCGAACGGGUGAGUAACGCGUAAUCAACCUGCCCUUCAGAGGGGGACAACAGUUGGAAACGACUGCUAAUACCGCAUACGAUCUAAUCUCGGCAUCGAGGAUAGAUGAAAGGUGGCCUCUACAUGUAAGCUAUCACUGAAGGAGGGGAUUGCGUCUGAUUAGCUAGUUGGAGGGGUAACGGCCCACCAAGGCGAGGAUCAGUAGCCGGUCUGAGAGGAUGAACGGCCACAUUGGGACUGAGACACGGCCCAGACUCCUACGGGAGGCAGCAGUGGGGAAUCUUCCGCAAUGGACGAAAGUCUGACGAAGCAACGCCGCGUGAGUGAUGACGGCCUUCGGGUUGUAAAGCUCUGUUAAUCGGGACGAAAGGCCUUCUUGCGAAUAGGGAGAAGGAUUGACGGUACCGGAAGAGAAAGCCACGGCUAACUACGUG
rnacentral:rRNA from 1 species